rnacentral:rRNA from 1 species
AUGCAAAGUCGAACGGAAGGCCCUUUCGGGGGUGCUCGAGUGGCGAACGGGUGAGUAACACGAGGGUGAUCUGCCCUGCACUUUGGGAUAAGCCUGGGAAACUGGGUCUAAUACCGAAUAUACCCUGCUGGUCGCAUGGCCUGGUGGGGGAAAGCUUUUGCGGUGUGGGAUGGGCCCGCGGCCUAUCAGCUUGUUGGUGGGGUGAUGGCCUACCAAGGCGACGACGGGUAGCCGGCCUGAGAGGGUGACCGGCCACACUGGGACUGAGAUACGGCCCAGACUCCUACGGGAGGCAGCAGUGGGGAAUAUUGCACAAUGGGCGCAAGCCUGAUGCAGCGACGCCGCGUGAGGGAUGACGGCCUUCGGGUUGUAAACCUCUUUCAGCACAGACGAAGCGCAAGUGACGGUAUGUGCAGAAGAAGGACCGGCCAACUACGUGCCAGCAGCCGCGGUAAUACGUAGGGUCCGAGCGUUGUCCGGAAUUACUGGGCGUAAAGAGCUCGUAGGUGGUUUGUCGCUA